rnacentral:rRNA from 1 species
UGGGGAAUUUUCCGCAAUGGGCGAAAGCCUGACGGAGCAACGCCGCGUGAGGGAGGAAGGUCUUUGGAUUGUAAACCUCUUUUCUCAAGGAAGAAGUUCUGACGGUACUUGAGGAAUCAGCCUCGGCUAACUCCGUGCCAGCAGCCGCGGUAAUACGGGGGAGGCAAGCGUUAUCCGGAAUUAUUGGGCGUAAAGCGUCCGCAGGUGGUCAGCCAAGUCUGCUGUCAAAUCAGGUUGCUUAACGACCUAAAGGCGGUGGAAACUGGCAGACUAGAGAGCAGUAGGGGUAGCAGGAAUUCCCAGUGUAGCGGUGAAAUGCGUAGAGAUUGGGAAGAACAUCGGUGGCGAAAGCGUGCUACUGGGCUGUAUCUGACACUCAGGGACGAAAGCUAGGGGAGCGAAAG